UACGUAGGGGGCUAGCGUUGUCCGGAAUCAUUGGGCGUAAAGCGCGUGUAGGCGGUUCGGUAAGUAGGGGGUGAAAUCCUGCGGCUUAACCGCAGGGCUGCCUUCUAAACUGUCGGGCUCGAGCACGGUAGAGGCAGAUGGAAUUCCCGGUGUAGCGGUGGAAUGCGUAGAGAUCGGGAAGAACAUCAGUGGCGAAGGCGGUCUGCUGGGCCGUUGCUGACGCUGAGGCGCGACAGCGUGGGGAGCAAACAGG
rnacentral:rRNA from 1 species